UGCAGUCGAACGAGAUUAUCCAGCUUGCUGGAUAUGAAAGUGGCGCACGGGUGCGUAACGCGUAUGCAACCUACCUUUAUCUGGGGGAUAGCCCGGAGAAAUCCGGAUUAAUACCGCAUAAAAUCACAGGAUGGCAUUAUCCAAUGAUCAAACAUUUAUGGGAUGAAGAUGGGCAUGCGUGUCAUUAGCUAGUUGGCGGGGUAACGGCCCACCAAGGCGACGAUGACUAGGGGAUCUGAGAGGAUGGCCCCCCACACUGGUACUGAGACACGGACCAGACUCCUACGGGAGGCAGCAGUAAGGAAUAUUGGUCAAUGGAGGCAACUCUGAACCAGCCAUGCCGCGUGCAGGAAGACUGCCCUAUGGGUUGUAAACUGCUUUUAUCCGGGAAUAAACCUGCUUACGUGUAAGUAGCUGAAUGUACCGGAAGAAUAAGGAUCGGCUAACUCCGUGCCAGCAGCCGCGGUAAUACGGAGGAUCCAAGCGUUAUCCGGAUUUAUUGGGUUUAAAGGGUGCGUAGGCGGCCUGUUAAGUCAGGGGUGAAAGACGGUAGCUCAACUAUCGCAGUGCCCUUGAUACUGAUGGGCUUGAAUGGACUAGAGGUAGGCGGAAUGAGACAAGUAGCGGUGAAAUGCAUAGAUAUGUCUCAGAACACCGAUUGCGAAGGCAGCUUACUAUGGUCUUAUUGACGCUGAGGCACGAAAGCGU
rnacentral:rRNA from 1 species